AGCCCAAGAAGCAGUCGAAGGACCUGGAUGAGGCAGAUCUGGCAUUUAAGCAAAAACAGAAGGAGGAGCAAAAGAAACUUGAGGAGAUGAAAGCAAAAGCUGCUGGAAAAGGGCCCCUUGCAAGUGGUGGAAUCAAGAAGUCUGGCAAGAAGUAGUGUGAUCAAGCUGCUGGAAAAAGCGAUCGAGUUAUUCAGUGGACCUGCUGGCUUCAGAAAGCCAAGAAAACUCACCCUUAUUUGAAAACCUUGUACAUUUUGUUUAGUCAGAAUAAACCUUUUUUGUUAAGAUG